rnacentral:rRNA from 1 species
GACGAACGCUGGCGGCGUGCUUAACACAUGCAAGUCGAACGAUGAACCUCGAAAUGAUUUCUUCGGAAAGAUUUUUGAGAGGAUUAGUGGCGAACGGGUGAGUAACGCGUGAGCAACCUGCCUUAGACAAGGGGAUAGCCUCGGGAAACCGUGAUUAAUACCCUAUGAGACUCCACUUACGAGUGUAAGAGAAGUUAAAGCUAUUGCGGUCUAAGAUGGGCUCGCGUCUGAUUAGCUAGUUGGUGAGAUAAAAGCCCACCAAGGCGACGAUCAGUAACCGGCUUGAGAGAGUGAACGGUCACAUUGGAACUGAGACACGGUCCAAACUCCUACGGGAGGCAGCAGUGGGGAAUAUUGCACAAUGGGGGCAACCCUGAUGCAGCGACGCCGCGUGAGCGAUGAAGGAAUUCGUUUCGUAAAGCUCUGUCCUUGGAGAAGAUAAUGACGGUAACCAAGGAGGAAGCACCGGCUAAAUACGUG